rnacentral:rRNA from 1 species
GACGUACGCUGGCGGCGUGCUUAACACAUGCAAGUCGAACGGUGAUGCUCCAGCUUGCUGGAGUGGAUCAGUGGCGAACGGGUGAGUAACACGUGAGCAACCUGCCCCAGACUCUGGAAUAAGCGCUGGAAACGGCGUCUAAUACUGGAUACGAAACUGGCCCGCAUGGGCAUGGUUUGGAAAGUUUUUCGGUUUGGGAUGGGCUCGCGGCCUAUCAGCUUGUUGGUGAGGUAAUGGCUCACCAAGGCGACGACGGGUAGCCGGCCUGAGAGGGCGACCGGCCACACUGGGACUGAGACACGGCCCAGACUCCUACGGGAGGCAGCAGUGGGGAAUAUUGCACAAUGGGCGAAAGCCUGAUGCAGCGACGCCGCGUGAGGGAUGACGGCCUUCGGGUUGUAAACCUCUUUCAGCAGGGAAGAAGCGAAAGUGACGGUACCUGCAGAAGAAGCACCGGCUAACUACGUG